ensembl:lncRNA
AACUCAGAAAAGCAGAGGGAAGUUACUUUUCCUCCCCUGCAGAAGCCCAGUUUGUAGUCCCACCAGAGCUGAUCCAAACCACCAACAAACAACUGGCAACAUUCCUGAACAUUUAAACUUAGUCUCCGGAGCAAGUAUGAACUGCUUCCAGCACCCCGCUGAAAGCAUGGUCUGCCUUCUCAUGACUGCCUUCUUCCUUUCUCCUCUCUGAUUCUUCAACCCACAUUUACCCUUGGACUUCAGUCCUUCUGGGAGACACCUGCAAGAAGGCUUUUGCCCCUUCCAUCUUCUUUGGCAUCUACCUAAUGGAGAAUAAUCUAAAUAUCUUUGCAAAUAAAAUGGUGGGAAAUGCAUACAUUCUCUGGCUCAGCCGUGUCUUUCCUACCACUUUCUCCUUGCCUAAUUAGUAUCAAACACUGUAC